CCUACGGGGGGCAGCAGUGGGGAAUAUUGCGCAAUGGGCGAAAGCCUGACGCAGCGACGCCGCGUGAGGGAUGAAGGUCUUCGGAUCGUAAACCUCUGUCAGCAGGGAAGAACGGUCACUGUGCUAAUCAGCAGUGAAUUGACGGUACCUGCAAAGGAAGCACCGGCUAACUCCGUGCCAGCAGCCGCGGUAAUACGGAGGGUGCGAGCGUUAAUCGGAAUUACUGGGCGUAAAGCGCUCGUAGGCGGUAUGUCAAGUCAAGGGUGAAAUCCCCGCGCUCAACGUGGGAACUGCCUUUGAAACUGGCAGACUGGAGUGUGUGAGAGGUAGGUGGAAUUCCAGGUGUAGGGGUGAAAUGCGUAGAUAUCUUGAAGAACAUCGAUGGCGAAGGCGGCUAUCUGGCACAUAACUGACGCUGAGGAGCGAAAGCGUGGGUAGCAAACAGGAUUAGAUACCCCAGUAGUC
rnacentral:rRNA from 1 species